CCUACGGGGGGCAGCAGUGAGGAAUAUUGGUCAAUGGACGAGAGUCUGAACCAGCCAAGUAGCGUGAAGGAUGACUGCCCUAUGGGUUGUAAAUUUCUUUUAUAUGGGAAUAAAAUGUUCCACGUGUGGGUUUUUGUAUGUACCAUAUGAAUAAGGAUCGGCUAACUCCGUGCCAGCAGCCGCGGCAAUACGGGGGGUCCGAGCGUUAUCCGGAUUUAUUGGGUUUAAAGGGAGCGUAGGGGGAUUGUUAAGUUAGUUGUGAAAGUUUGCGGCUCAACCGGAGAAUUGCAGUUGAAACUGGCAGGCUUGAGUACAGUAGAGGUGGGCGGAAUUCGUGGUGUAGCGGUGAAAUGCGUAGAUAUCACGAAGAACACCGAUUGCGAAGGCAGCUCACUGGACUGCGACUGACACUGAGGCUCGAAAGUGUGGGUAUCAAACAGGAUUAGAUACCCGUGUAGUC
rnacentral:rRNA from 1 species